AGUGAACGCUGGCGGUAGGCCUAACACAUGCAAGUCGAACGGCAGCACAGUAAGAGCUUGCUCUUACGGGUGGCGAGUGGCGGACGGGUGAGGAAUACAUCGGAAUCUACUUUUUCGUGGGGGAUAACGUAGGGAAACUUACGCUAAUACCGCAUACGACCUACGGGUGAAAGCAGGGGAUCUUCGGACCUUGCGCGAUUGAAUGAGCCGAUGUCGGACUAGCUAGUUGGCGGGGUAAAGGCCCACCAAGGCGACGAUCCGUAGCUGGUCUGAGAGGAUGAUCAGCCACACUGGAGGUGAGACGCGGUCCAGACUCCUACGGGAGGCAGCAGUGGGGAAUGUUGGACAAUGGGCGCAAGCCUGGUCCAGCCAUACCGCGUGGGUGAAGAAGGCCUUCGGGUUGGAAAGCCCUUUUGUUGGGAAAGAAAAGCAGCAGGUUAAUACCCCGCUGUUCUGACGGUACCCAAAGAAUAAGCACCGGCUAACUUCGUG
rnacentral:rRNA from 1 species